GACGAACGCUGGCGGCGUGCUUAACACAUGCAAGUCGAACGGAAAGGCCCUGCUUUUGUGGGGUGCUCGAGUGGCGAACGGGUGAGUAACACGUGAGUAACCUGCCCUUGACUUUGGGAUAACUUCAGGAAACUGGGGCUAAUACCGGAUAGGAGCUCCUGCUGCAUGGUGGGGGUUGGAAAGUUUCGGCGGUUGGGGAUGGACUCGCGGCUUAUCAGCUUGUUGGUGGGGUAGUGGCUUACCAAGGCUUUGACGGGUAGCCGGCCUGAGAGGGUGACCGGCCACAUUGGGACUACGAUAGGGCCCAGACUCGUACGGGAGGCAGCAGUGGGGAAUAUUGCAGAAUGGGCGGAAGCCUGAUGCAGCAACGCCGCGUGCGGGAUGACGGCCUUCGGGUUGUAAACCGCUUUCGCCUGUGACGAAGCGUGAGUGACGGUAAUGGGUAAAGAAGCACCGGCUAACUACGUG
rnacentral:rRNA from 1 species